UACCAGCACCCGAGUGGUCGGGACGAUUAUUGGGCCUAAAGCAUCCGUAGCCGGUCCGUACAAGUCUUCCGUUAAAUCCACCUGCUUCAACGAGAUGGGCUGCGGAAGAUACUAUAGGGCUAGGAGGCGGGAGAGGCAAGCGGUACUCGAGGUGGGUAGGGGUAAAAUCCUCUGAUCCAUUGAAGACCACCAGUGGCGAAGGCGGCUUGACCAGAACGCGCGCGACG
rnacentral:rRNA from 1 species